rnacentral:lncRNA from 1 species
AAAUAUUAGGUGAACUUCUCGAGUUCACAACCAUUACAAUCAGCCUGAAGUCAUCUGCAUUCAAUGAAGUAAUAGCAAAGGUAUAAUCUGAGAUCUGAUUUGGCAGGCUUCCCCCCUAGAAAUACUUGUCUAUUCUGAUACUGGCAUGGAAAUCUGAGUUAAGAAUGAAUUUUCUGGCAGACUUUCAUGCUUGUAUUAGAGAAAUAAAGUACGAUUUUGUUACAUGCU